UACGAAGGGGGCUAGCGUUGUUCGGAAUUACUGGGCGUAAAGGGCGCGUAGGCGGUGUGUCAAGUCAGGCGUGAAAGCCCCGGGCUCAACCUGGGAACCGCGCUUGAGACUGGCACGCUAGAGUUCGGGAGAGGAUGGUGGAAUUCCCAGUGUAGAGGUGAAAUUCGUAGAUAUCAGGAAGAACACCCGUGGCGAAGGCGGCUCUCUGGGACGGUACUGACGCUGAGACGCGAAAGCGUGGGGAGCGAACAGG
rnacentral:rRNA from 1 species